rnacentral:rRNA from 1 species
CAUAUGGUUAGUCGGGAAAGUUUUUCGCUAAGAGAUCAGUCUAUAUCGCAUCAGUUAGUUGGUAGGGUAAUGGCCUACCAAGACAAUGACGCGUAGCGGGUUUGAGAGGAUGAUCCGCCACACUGGUACUGAGACACGGACCAGACUCCUACGGGAGGCAGCAGUGAGGAAUAUUGCACAAUGGGGGAAACCCUGAUGCAGCAACGCCGCGUGGAGGAUGACGCAUUUCGGUGUGUAAACUCCUUUUAUGAGUCAAGAAAAUGACGGUAGCUCAUGAAUAAGCACCGGCUAACUCCGUGCCAGCAGCCGCGGUAAUACGGAGGGUGCAAGCGUUACUCGGAAUCACUGGGCGUAAAGGACGCGUAGGCGGGUUAUCAAGUCAGGUGUGAAAUCCUAUGGCUCAACCAUAGAACUGCACUUGAAACUGGUAACCUAGAGUAUGGGAGGGGGAGAUGGAAUUAGUGGUGUAGGGGUAAAAUCCGUAGAUAUCACUAGGAAUACCCAAAGCGAAGGCGAUCUCCUGGAACAUUACUGACGCUAAGGCGUGAAAGCGUGGGGAGCAAACGGGAUUAGAUACCCCGGUAGUCCACGCCCUAAACGAUGAACACUAGUCGUCGGGGAGCUAGUCUCUUCGGUGAUGCACUUAACAGAUUAAGUGUUCCGCCUGGGGAGUACGGUCGCAAGAUUAAAACUCAAAGGAAUAGACGGGGACCCGCACAAGUGGUGGAGCAUGUGGUUUAAUUCGAAAAUACGCGAAGAACCUUACCUAGCCUUGACAUUGAUAGAACACCGUAGAGAUACAGUGGUGCCCUUCGGGGAACUUGAAAACAGGUGCUGCACGGCUGUCGUCAGCUCGUGUCGUGAGAUGUUGGGUUAAGUCCCGCAACGAGCGCAACCCUCGUCCUUAGUUGCCAGCAGGUUAAGCUGGGCACUCUAAGGAGACUGCCUUCGCAAGGAGGAGGAAGGUGAGGACGACGUCAAGUCAUCAUGGCCCUUAUGGCUAGGGCCACACACGUGCUACAAUGGGGCGUACAGAGAGUUGCGAUACCGCGAGGUGGAGCCAAUCUCAUAAAGCGUCUCUCAGUUCGGAUUGGAGUCUGCAACUCGACUCCAUGAAGCUGGAAUCACUAGUAAUCGUAGAUCAGCAAUGCUACGGUGAAUACGUUCCCGGGUCUUGUACUCACCGCCCGUCACACCAUGGGAGUUGAUUU